UUUAGUGCAGUUGCAGAGGGAGGUGAUUACAGACUCAGAGGGAUCAGACCGUCGUAAACUGGAGAAACCACAAGACAAAACAAACUGGGAGAGCUGGGAGACUGAAACCAGCAAACUGUCAGAAAGUUGCUUGUUUGUCGUUUCACAUCGGCCCUGAAAAUGAUGGGAAUCGCCAUGGCAACCAUCAGGGGGAGAACUUGCACCUUUUUGAAAAAUGUUGGGAUUCACCUGUCAACCCCUGAUCCUGCUGGAGUAAAGAAUCCCCCAGCAUGAUGCUGCCACCACCAGCAUCAUGGUGGCAGCAUCCUGACUUCCUGAUGUUAUCAUCCAAUAAAAACACUGAAUGUGAAAUAAAAAAGUUAAAGGA